UAAAAAACUGGCGGCGGCUUACCAUGCAAGUCCCACGGUAGCAGGAGAAAGCUUGCUUUCUUGCUGACGAGUGGCGGACGGGUGAGUAAUGCUUGGGAAUCUGGCUUAUGGAGGGGGAUAACUACUGGAAACGGUAGCUAAUACCGCGUAAUAUCGGAAGAUUAAAGGGUGGGACCGAAAGGCCACCUGCCAUAAGAUGAGCCCAAGUGGGAUUAGGUAGUUGGUGGGGUAAAGGCCUACCAAGCCGACGAUCUCUAGCUGGUCUGAGAGGAUGACCAGCCACACUGGAACUGAGACACGGUCCAGACUCCUACGGGAGGCAGCAGUGGGGAAUAUUGCACAAUGGGGGGAACCCUGAUGCAGCCAUGCCGCGUGAAUGAAGAAGGCCUUCGGGUUGUAAAGUUCUUUCGGUGAUGAGGAAGGUAUCAAAUUUAAUAGAUUUGGUAAUUGACGUUAGUCACAGAAGAAGCACCGGCUAACUCCGUGCCAGCAGCCGCGGUAAU
rnacentral:rRNA from 1 species